rnacentral:rRNA from 1 species
UACGAAGGGGGCUAGCGUUGUUCGGAAUUACUGGGCGUAAAGGGCUGGUAGGCGGCCAACUAAGUCGGAUGUGAAAUCCCCAGGCUUAACCUGGGAACUGCAUCCGAUACUGGUCGGCUUGAAUCCGGGAGAGGGAUGCAGAAUUCCAGGUGUAGCGGUGAAAUGCGUAGAUAUCUGGAGGAAUACCGGUGGCGAAGGCGGCAUCCUGGACCGGCAUUGACGCUGAACAGCGAAAGCUAGGGGAGCAAACGGG